rnacentral:rRNA from 1 species
AGUGAAGCGGCAACAGCUCAAAUUUGAAAUCUGGCCCCAGGCCCGAGUUGUAAUUUGCAGAGGAUGCUUUUGGCGCGGUGCCUUCCGAGUUCCCUGGAACGGGACGCCAUAGAGGGUGAGAGCCCCGUCUGGUUGGAUACCAAGCCUUUGUAAAGCUCCUUCGACGAGUCGAGUAGUUUGGGAAUGCUGCUCUAAAUGGGAGGUAUAUGUCUUCUAAAGCUAAAUACCGGCCAGAGACCGAUAGCGCACAAGUAGAGUGAUCGAAAGAUGAAAAGCACUUUGGAAAGAGAGUUAAACAGCACGUGAAAUUGUUAAAAGGGAAGCGUUUAUGACCAGACUUGGGCCGGUUAAUCAUCCAGCGUUCUCGCUGGUGCACUUUGCCGGUCCAGGCCAGCAUCAGUUCGCUGCGGGGGAUAAAGGCGUCGGGAAUGUGGCUCCUCUGGAGUGUUAUAGCCCUUCGCGCAAUACCCUGCGGUGGACUGAGGUUCGCGCAUCUGCAAGGAUGCUGGCGUAAUGGUCAUCAACGACCCGUCUUGAAACACGGACCAAGGAGUCGUCUUCGUAUGCGAGUGUUCGGGUGUAAAACCCCUACGCGUAAUGAAAGUGAACGCAGGUGAGAGCUUCGGCGCAUCAUCGACCGAUCCUGAUGUUCUCGGAUGGAUUUGAGUAAGAGCAUACGGGGCCGGACCCGAAAGAAGGUGAACUAUGCCUGUAUAGGGUGAAGCCAGAGGAAACUCUGGUGGAGGCUCGCAGCGGUUCUGACGUGCAAAUCGAUCGUCAAAUAUGGGCAUGGGGGCGAAAGACUAAUCGAACCUUCUAGUAGCUGGUUUCCGCCGAAGUUUCCCUCAGGAUAGCAGUGUUGAACUCAGUUUUAUGAGGUAAAGCGAAUGAUUAGGGACCAGGGGGCGCUAUUUAGCCUUCACCAUUCUCAACUUUAAUAUGUA